UACGUAGGGUGCAAGCGUUAUCCGGAUUCACUGGGUUUAAAGGGUGCGUAGGUGGGUUGGUAAGUCCGUGGUGAAAUCUCCGAGCUUAACUCGGAAACUGCCGUGGAUACUAUCAAUCUUGAAUACUGUGGAGGUAAGCGGAAUAUGUCAUGUAGCGGUGAAAUGCUUAGAUAUGACAUAGAACACCGAUAGCGAAGGCAGCUUGCUACACAGUCAUUGACACUGAGGCACGAAAGCGUGGGGAGCAAACAGG
rnacentral:rRNA from 1 species